CUUGAACGCUGGCGGCAGGCCUAACACAUGCAAGUCGAGCGGAUGAAGGGAGCUUGCUCCUGGAUUCAGCGGCGGACGGGUGAGUAAUGCCUAGGAAUCUGCCUGGUAGUGGGGGAUAACGUCCGGAAACGGGCGCUAAUACCGCAUACGUCCUGAGGGAGAAAGUGGGGGAUCUUCGGACCUCACGCUAUCAGAUGAGCCUAGGUCGGAUUAGCUAGUUGGUGGGGUAAAGGCCUACCAAGGCGACGAUCCGUAACUGGUCUGAGAGGAUGAUCAGUCACACUGGAACUGAGACACGGUCCAGGUUCCUACGGGAGGCAGCAGUGGGGAAUAUUGGACAAUGGGCGAAAGCCUGAUCCAGCCAUGCCGCGUGUGUGAAGAAGGUCUUCGGAUUGUAAAGCACUUUAAGUUGGGAGGAAGGGCAGUAAGUUAAUACCUUGCUGUUUUGACGUUACCAACAGAAUAAGCACCGGCUAACUUCGUG
rnacentral:rRNA from 1 species